ensembl:antisense Gm14964 predicted gene 14964
CGGCCGCCGCGGCUCGAAGGCCGUGGGGACCCCAGGCCCCAGGGGAAAAGAAAGAGAAGAGAGAAGAGAGGGCGUCAGCGAGGGCCAGGGCGCGGGCGGCCGGCACAGAGAGAGAAACAACAGCCUCACACCCAAAUCGGUUCAAUUGGCUUUGGCGGAGACUACGCGGGCCGGGCCCGCCCGCCAGCCGGCCAGCGCCUGCGCUUUAAGCGGGCUGCGGCUCGGAUGCCCUGGGCACCCCACGCGCGGGCUCUGUGACUUUGGGUUUUGGUCUUUUUGUUUCGUCUUAAGAAACCAAACGGAACAGAAAGGAAAGGAAAUUGAAAAGAAACGGAAUUUUUUUUUUUUCUACUGGUUUAAGGCUUUAAAAACAUACAACAGCAGCAUUUAAACAAACCUAACAACAAUAUCUUUUAGGGUUUUUUUUAUAUAUAUUUCUUUUUGCUUUUUUUUUUUUUUGCUUUUGUUUUUAAAAAAGAAGAUAGCAUACCACGGAAUUCAGGCAACUUACAUCAACAA